rnacentral:lncRNA from 1 species
UUUUUACAAUUACAUAUUCAAGUAAUCACAGUAUUACAUCCCACAGAAGAAGAAUUAGGAACACUAUGGUAUAAAACUCUUUCACUGCCACUUGACAACCAACAUAGUAUAUUAGAUGGCAUUGUGAAUGGAGAAUUCGACAAUGUAGCAUAACAUAUCCCCGCUCAUAGCAUGCAUGUGCAAGAAACAACUGUCGGUACUUCAAGGACAUUUGCUUCAGUUGGAGUUGGGUCUAGUUCUGCUUCUGGUGGCUCAAAAUACGUGACAAGAGAACAAAUGGGUGAAAUGUUGAGUAUGUACAAGCAACAUAUAGUGUCAGAUGUGUCUGGUUUGUGUGACAGCUUAAAGGCACAAAUUGUUGAAGAGUCGAGAAAACAAGAAGCUCACUAUCAUGCAAUUCUUGAUAAUCAAAAACAACUUUUUCAACAAGAUCAAAGAUGGAAAGAAGAUCAUGUAUCUGGCAUGCAAUCUUAUGUCGAUGGUUCAGGUUUGUACAAAAGUUUGUUCGAUGCACACAUUGCUGAGGAAUCAAAAAGACAAGAAGCUUAUUACCAAGCGAUUCUUGACAACCAAAAACAAUUCUUCGAGCAGCAACAAAAAUGGCAACUAGAUCAUCACCAGAGCAUGCAAUCUUAUGUGGAUACCAAUUUAAGUUUAGUGAAAUCUUACAUUGAUGAACAAAAUAAGAAUGUGCUAAACAAAUUGUCUGACUCGAAGUCAAAUAUGGAAGCGAUUAUUGGUUCUAUACAACAAGGUGAUCAUGCCCAUACAAGUCCAAUUCAAUUCAAGCCCCCAUCAACAUCUCAACAAAUAGAAAGUGUUGAAACGUUGAGUAAAGAAAAAAGAGGAGAAAAAGAUAGUCCUCAUCAUCGUUUACAAGUUAUCAUUUAGAAGACUCUUAUAGAAAGGUACAUAAGAGUUAGAGAUUGGGUGUUGCAAAAUCCAUGGGGUAAGAGAUUUAAUUUUACUUUAUUAGCUUGAAUAUUAUAAUUUGUAUUUGAUUUAUUUGACAUUAAUUUGAAUUAUGUUAUACAGUGCAUAUUGGGAUGAUGGAACUUGCAAUCUCUAUGGAAGAGAGAUGUUAAAAAGCAUGAUGGAUAAAACUAAAGAUAUG